GCGGUUUCUUAAGUCUGAUGUGAAAGCCCCCGGCUCAACCGGGGAGGGUCAUUGGAAACUGGGAGACUUGAGUGCAGAAUAGGAGAGAGGAAUUCCAUGUGUAGCGGUGAAAUGCGUAGAUAUAUGGAGGAACACCAGUGGCGAAGGCGGCUCUCUGGUCUGUAACUGACGCUGAGGCUCGAAAGCGUGGGGAGCGAACAGGAUUAGAUACCCUGGUAGUCCACGCCGUAAACGAUGAGUGCUAAGUGUUGGAGGGUUUCCGCCCUUCAGUGCUGCAGCAAACGCAUUAAGCACUCCGCCUGGGGAGUACGACCGCAAGGUUGAAACUCAAAGGAAUUGACGGGGGCCCGCACAAGCGGUGGAGCAUGUGGUUUAAUUCGAAGCAACGCGAAGAACCUUACCAGGUCUUGACAUCCUUUGACCACUCUAGAGAUAGAGCUUCCCCUUCGGGGGCAAAGUGACAGGUGGUGCAUGGUUGUCGUCAGCUCGUGUCGUGAGAUGUUGGGUUAAGUCCCGCAACGAGCGCAACCCUUAUUGUUAGUUGCCAUCAUUUAGUUGGGCACUCUAGCGAGACUGCCGGUGACAAACCGGAGGAAGGUGGGGAUGACGUCAAAUCAUCAUGCCCCUUAUGACCUGGGCUACACACGUGCUACAAUGGGAAGUACAACGAGUUGCGAAGUCGCGAGGCUAAGCUAAUCUCUUAAAGCUUCUCUCAGUUCGGAUUGUAGGCUGCAACUCGCCUACAUGAAGCCGGAAUCGCUAGUAAUCGCGGAUCAGCACGCCGCGGUUGAAUACGUUCCCGGGCCUUGUACACACCGCCCGUCACACCACGAGAGUUUGUAACACCCGAAGUCGGUGAGGUAACCUUUUUGGAGCC
rnacentral:rRNA from 1 species